UAAAGAUUUUAAGGGCGUACGGUGGAUGCCUUGGCGAUAUCAGCCGAAGAAGGACGCGGUAAGCUGCGAUAAGCUACGGAGAGGUGCAAGCAACCUUUGACCCGUAGAUUUCCGAAUGGGGGAACCCGGCAGUGGUUAUGCACUGUCACCCAUAGCUUAGACUAUGAGGAGGGCACCUGGGGAACUGAAACAUCUAAUUACCCAGAGGAACAGUAAUCAAACGAGAUUUUCUUAGUAGCGGCGAGCGAACGGGAAAGAGGCCAAACCGGAGCGGGCAACCGCACCGGGGUUGAGGACAGUCAUCAAGUGUAAAUGAGGUAGAAGAAUCGAGCUGGAAAGCUCAGCCGUAGAAGGUGAAAGCCCUGUAAUCGAAACCUUGCAUACAUGGGACUGUAUCCAGAGUACCACGAGACACGUGAAACCUUGUGGGAAGCAGGGGGGACCACCCUCCAAGCCAAAAUACUGAUAUCGACCGAUAGCGCAUAGUACCGUGAGGGAAAGGUGAAAAGAACCCCUGGCGGGGAGUGAAAGAGAACCUGAAACCGUAUGUCUACAAACAGUCGAAGUCUGUAUAUAUAUCAGGACGACGGCGUGCCUAUUGAAGAAUGAACCGACGAGUUACUGUUGCUAGCGAGGUUAAGUGGAAAACAUGGAGCCGCAGCGAAAGCGAGUCUGAACAGGGCGUAUAGUUAGUAAUAGUAGACCCGAAACCGUAGUGAUCUAUCCAUGGCCAGGUUGAAGCACAGGUAAAAUUGUGUGGAGGACCGAACUCGUGAGCGUUGAAAAGCUUUGGGAUGAGUUGUGGAUAGGGGUGAAAUGCCAAUCGAACACGGAGAUAGCUGGUUCUCCCCGAAAUAGCUUUAGGGCUAGCCUCGAGGUAGAGAGUAUAGGCGGUAGAGCACUGAUCGGGCUAGGGGCCAUACCGGUUACCGAACCUAGUCAAACUACGAAUGGCUAUACUUAUACUCGGGAGUCAGACAGUGAAUGAUAAGGUCCAUUGUCAAGAGGGAAACAGCCCAGAACACCGACUAAGGUCCCCAAUGUUACACUAAGUGGCGAAGGAUGUGGAAUUUCCAAAACAACCAGGAUGUUGGCUUAGAAGCAGCCACCAUUUAAAGAGUGCGUAAUAGCUCACUGGUCGAGAGACUCUGCGCCGAAAAUGUCCGGGGCUAAAGUGUAAAACCGAAGUCGUGUCAUAUGCAGCAAUGUAUAUGGGUAGGGGAGCGUUCUCAUCGGGCUGAAGCAGUACCGUAAGGAGUUGUGGACUGAUGAGAAGUGAGAAUGUCGGUAUGAGUAGCGAAAAGAAUGGUGAGAAUCCAUUCCACCGAAAGCCUAAGGGUUCCUGAGCAACGAUCGUCGUCUCAGGGUAAGUCGGGACCUAAGCCGAGGCGGAACAGCGUAGGCGAUGGACAACAGGUUGAAAUUCCUGUACCGGUGUGAAUCGUUUGAUCGAUGGAGUGACACAGUAAGGUAGGUCAGCACGCGAUUGGAAGAGCGUGUUUAAGCAGGUAGGUUGAGCUAUAGGCAAAUCCGUAGCUCUAAAAGCUGAGAUGUGAUGACGAGUGACUAGCAAUAGUCGCGAAGUGAUUGAUCCUACACUGUCGAGAAAAGCUUCUAGGUAGAGACACAUCGCCCGUACCAAAACCGACACAGGUAGGCGGGGAGAGAAUCCUAAGGUGCGCGGGAAAACCCUCGUUAAGGAACUCGGCAAAAUGCCUCCGUAACUUCGGGAAAAGGAGGACUCAUGUAGUGUGAAGAGCAGCAACGCAUGGAGCAUGAAUGAGUGGCACAAGAGAGGCGCAAGCGACUGUUUACCACAAACACAGGUGCCUGCUAAAGCGAAAGCUGAUGUAUAGGUGCUGACACCUGCCCGGUGCUGGAAGGUUAAGAGGAGGGGUUAGACUUCGGUCGAAGCUCUGAAUUGAAGCCCCAGUAAACGGCGGCCGUAACUAUAACGGUCCUAAGGUAGCGAAAUUCCUUGUCGGGUAAGUUCC
rnacentral:rRNA from 1 species